rnacentral:rRNA from 1 species
GAUAAUGGCUCAGGAUGAACGCUAGCUACAGGCUUAACACAUGCAAGUCGAGGGGAAACGACAUCGAAAGCUUGCUUUUGAUGGGCGUCGACCGGCGCACGGGUGAGUAACGCGUAUCCAACCUGCCCAUCACUUGGGAAUAACCUUGCGAAAGUAAGACUAAUACCCAAUGAUAUCCCACGAAGGCAUCCGAAUGGGAUUAAAGAUUUAUCGGUGAUGGAUGGGGAUGCGUCUGAUUAG